GAGUACGUGAAACCGCUUAGGGGUUAAGCCCGAUGAACCUGAAUAUCUGAAUUGAGAAAUUCAAUACUAUUCUAAUUAUUUAUCCUUAAAAAAUAAAUGAUCGAUGGUAUGCACUUUUCUCAUAGUAGGACAUUGCGAUCCAUUAGUAUAUCUUUUUAAGAUGGUUUAUCAAACGGCCCGUAUAGUCAGUUUAAUCUAUCUGCAAUACUUGCUAUUGUAUGGUUAAUGCUAUUGCGGUGACCUGAUAAACAGCUGAUGGAGCUUAUAAAUCAUGCAACCAUGCAUUAUGUAUUACGGUUUUAAUAUAUUUUAUAUAUUGAAAUGCAGUAAUCGCAUGUAUUUGAUUAGCAAUGCGAUAGAUUUGGGAUACCUUCGGGACCCGUCUUGAAACACGGACCAAGAAGUCUAACAUGUGUGUAAGUCAUUGGGUAUUUUGUUGAAACCUAAAGGCGAAAUUAAAAUAACUAUUUAUGGGAUUACAAGCAAUCUUAAUGAUUGUUUCUCCAUCCCGGGGCGUUCAAUAUGAACAUGGUUUAAGCAAUUGGACCCUCUGUUCUAGAGCGUACCUUGAACAUACAUGCUGUGACCC
rnacentral:rRNA from 1 species